CUUGACCGACCCGAUCCACAGCGGCUCGGUGCGGUUCUGGCCGUAGGUGGCCAGCAGCGCCUGCGCCUC
rnacentral:antisense_RNA from 1 species